ACGGGUGAGUAACGCGUGGGAAUCUACCCAUCUCUACGGAAUAACGCAUGGAAACGUGUGCUAAUACCGUAUACGUCCUUCGGGAGAAAGAUUUAUCGGAGAUGGAUGAGCCCGCGUUGGAUUAGCUAGUUGGUGGGGUAAAGGCCUAUCAAGGCGACGAUCCAUAGCUGGUCUGAGAGGAUGAUCAGCCACACUGGGACUGAGACACGGCCCAGACUCCUACGGGAGGCAGCAGUGGGGAAUAUUGGACAAUGGGCGCAAGCCUGAUCCAGCCAUGCCGCGUGAGUGAUGAAGGCCCUAGGGUUGUAAAGCUCUUUCACCGGUGAAGAUAAUGACGGUAACCGGAGAAGAAGCCCCGGCUAACUUCGUGCCAGCAGCCGCGGUAAUACGAAGGGGGCUAGCGUUGUUCGGAUUUACUGGGCGUAAAGCGCACGUAGGCGGACUAUUAAGUCAGGGGUGAAAUCCCGGGGCUCAACCCCGGAACUGCCUUUGAUACUGGUAGUCUUGAGUUCGAGAGAGGUGAGUGGAAUUCCGAGUGUAGAGGUGAAAUUCGUAGA
rnacentral:rRNA from 1 species